CUCAUGGAGAGUUUGAUCCUGGCUCAGGAUGAAUGCUAGCGGCAUGCUUAACACAUGCAAGUCAGACGGGAAGUGGUGUUACCAGUGGCGGACGAGUGAGUAACGCAUAAGAACCUACCCUUGGGAGGGGAACAACAACUGGAAACGGCUGCUAAUACCCCAUAGGCUGAGGAGCAGAAGGAGGAAUCCACCCAAGGAGGGGCUCGCGUCUGAUUAGUUAGUUGGUGAGGCAAUGGCUUACCAAGGCAACGAUCAGUAGCUGGUCCGAGAGGAUGAUUAGCCACACUGGGACUGAGACACAGCCCAGACUGUAGGUGAAUUUUCAAGUCUGCCAUCAAAUCCCAGGGCUCAACCCUGGACAGGCGGUGGAAACUACCAAGCUGGAGUAUGGUAGGGGAAGAGGGAAUUUUCGGUGGAGUGGUGAAAUGCAUUGAGAUUGAAAAGAACACCAAUGGCGAAAGCACUCUGCUGGGCCGACACUGACACUGAGAGACGAAAGCUAGGGGAGAAAAUGGGAUUAGAUACCCCAGUAGUCCUAGCCGUAAAUGAUGGAUACUAAGUUAUGUUUGUAUCGACCCGCGCAGUGCUAUAGCUAACGCGUUAAGUAUCCCGCCUGGGGAGUACAUUCGCAAGAAUGAAACUCAAAGGAAUUGAUGGGGGCCUGCACAAGCAGUGGAGCAUGUGGUUUAAUUUGAUGCAAAGCAAAGAACCUUACCAGGGCUUGACAUGCCGUGAAUCCUCCCGAAAGAGAGGAGUACCUUCAGGAACGCGGACACAGGUGGUGCAUGGAUGUCAUCAGCUCAUGCCGUAAGGUGUUGGGUUAAGUCCCGUAACGAGCGCAACCCUCAUGUUUAGUUUCCAUCAUUGAGUUUGGAACCCUGAACAGACUGUCGAUGGUAAGCCGGAGGAAGGUGAGGGUGACGUCAAUUCAUCAUGCCCCUUACGCCCUGGGCGACACACGUGCUACAAUGACCGGGACAAAGGGUCGAGACCCCGCGAGGGUAAGCUAACCUCAAAAACCCGGCCUCAGUUCGGAUUGUAGGAUGCAACUCGCCUACAUGAAGCCAGAAUCACUAGUAAUCGUCGGUCAGCCAUACGGCGGUGAAUCCAUUCCCAGGCCUUGUACACACCGCCCAUCACACUAUGGGAGCUGGCCAUGCCCCAAGUCGUUACCUUAACAGCAAGGAGGGGGAUGUCAAAGGCUGGGCUAGUGACUGGAGUGAAGUCGUAACAAGGUAGCCGUACUGGAAGGUGUGGAUGGAUCACCUCCUUU
rfam:Picea glauca, whole genome shotgun sequence.